rnacentral:rRNA from 1 species
AUUGAACGCUGGCGGCAUGCCUUACACAUGCAAGCCGAACGGCAGCACGGGAGCAAUCCUGGUGGCGAGUGGCGAACGGGUGAGUAAUAUAUCGGAACGUGCCCAGUCGUGGGGGAUAACGUAGCGAAAGCUACGCUAAUACCGCAUACGAUCUACGGAUGAAAGCGGGGGAUCGCAAGACCUCGCGCGAUUGGAGCGGCCGAUAUCAGAUUAGGUAGUUGGUGAGGUAAAGGCUCACCAAGCCGACGAUCUGUAGCUGGUCUGAGAGGACGACCAGCCACACUGGGACUGAGACACGGCCCAGACUCCUACGGGAGGCAGCAGUGGGGAAUUUUGGACAAUGGGCGCAAGCCUGAUCCAGCAAUGCCGCGUGCAGGAUGAAGGCCUUCGGGUUGUAAACUGCUUUGUACGGAACGAAACGGUGAGCUCUAAUACAGUUUGCUAAUGACGGUACCGUAAGAAUAAGCACCGGCUAACUACGUG